rnacentral:rRNA from 1 species
UAGGGAAUCUUCCACAAUGGGCGAAAGCCUGAUGGAGCAACGCCGCGUGGGUGAAGAAGGUCUUCGGAUCGUAAAACCCUGUUGUUAGAGAAGAAAGUGCGUGAGAGUAACUGUUCACGUUUCGACGGUAUCUAACCAGAAAGCCACGGCUAACUACGUGCCAGCAGCCGCGGUAAUACGUAGGUGGCAAGCGUUAUCCGGAUUUAUUGGGCGUAAAGGGAACGCAGGCGGUCUUUUAAGUCUGAUGUGAAAGCCUUCGGCUUAACCGGAGUAGUGCAUUGGAAACUGGGAGACUUGAGUGCAGAAGAGGAGAGUGGAACUCCAUGUGUAGCGGUGAAAUGCGUAGAUAUAUGGAAGAACACCAGUGGCGACAGCGGCUCUCUGGUCUGUAACUUACGCUGAGGUUCGAAAGCGUGGGUAGCAAACAGG